rnacentral:lncRNA from 1 species
UGGCCACUGAUCUUUUACAAACUUUUGAUGAUUUUUCGGCUUAUUUGAAACGAUAUUAUUUUUCGGAUGGUCAACAAGUUCAUGAAGCAACAGACGUCGUUCAUUUGAGUAAAUAUGCAUGGCUUCGGUUAUAAGAGACGUUUCAGCAAUUUGUGCUUCUUGGAGUGCAUCUUGAAUGUAUAAACCAGGAAGAUGUUUUAAGAGUUUAAAGUGUCUCCUCUUUCGGUCAAAGUCAACCAUACCCAUGAUUCCACUAACAAUAAGUUCCCUCACAUAUGCUUGAGGAUAGAAAAUUCCCGAUCGAAUGAGUUCGUUUAUGAGCAACUGAACACGUUUAAAACCUUCUCCGCUUUGGGCUUGGUGUUGAUCAAUCCAGCACACGAUAAUAUCAUGUAACGGUCCUGGACUUUGGAAGAACUGUGACAGGUCUUUGACUUUUCUAACGCCAGCUUUUGGCCUGCUUGAACUUCGCAUGUUUCUUGUUUUCAUCUCUAGGAGCCGAGUAGCAACAUAUACCUGAGAAAAGUCUCGUUUUCCGCUGAAUUUAAUACCACGAGGCGGACCCACUCGAAAAUCCCGAAAAUCACAAGUGGCCCACUCGCAAAUAAAAAACACAGAACACAUGAAUGACGACCCUACUGUACCGAUCCACUUUAGAGAUGACCGUAAACACGUGCUGACGUCAGCUAUCCAUCUUUUAUCAAAAGUUUCAUCACAAAAAUCCUCAAACAUGCACUUGUAAGCAAUAGUAAUAUCUCCAUGUAUAAGAGCUUUAUCUAACUCAUGCACAACUUUGGCCACGUUAUGACCCGAAUAGUCCGGUUUUGCAACUUUUGAAAGAUUGGUUGCACGUUUCCGAAUGGAAUAAACAACCGAAUUAAUCGAUAACUGCUGCUCCCCAGUUACCCGUGUAAUCAAACUACCGUCAUUUGGUGCGUUUAAAACCACACAUGAAGGGAGUGGGAAGCAAUUUUGCGCAACAAAAGUAUCGGGAACCGCAAGUAGUAAGUAUCGAAGAAUUUCGACCAAAGCAGUGAUAGUGUAUGCCCUCCUAGAGUUAUCCACAAGAUCUGAACCACCCGGUGACGGUUCUUGGAUAAACCGAACAGCUAUUCCCACUAGGAUAUGAACGUAAUUUUGCGAUAAAACCAUAGAUUCUAUAACAACAUAUAUGAUCGGCAAUAGCAAUUGCAAUAUCACAAGUAAUUCCUUCUCCUGCAAUUGAUUCAGAACCCAAUCGAUGAUUAAAGAAGGGAGAAGCAACCCUUCGGCAUAGUGCCACUGUAUGAUUCGAACGACAUACCACCACUUAAAAUGUAAAGACGGUUCGUCACUAUCAACCGCUGACACCAAGUCAUUCUUGUGCUGGAUGGACCCACCAUAAGCAAACUGGGGUGAUCGAUCCUUAAUAUGAAGGGUAGAAUGGGAAUUACUUUUUUGAACAAAUUCAUCCAAAAGAUGCUGUAAAUACUCGAUAACAUCUU